rnacentral:rRNA from 1 species
UACGUAGGGGGCAAGCGUUGUCCGGAAUCAUUGGGCGUAAAGCGCGUGUAGGCGGCCAGAUAAGUCCGCUGUGAAAUCUCGAGGCUCAACUUCGAGCUGUCGGUGGAAACUGUCUGGCUAGAGUCCGGAAGAGGAGAAUGGAAUUCCUGGUGUAGCGGUGGAAUGCGCAGAUAUCAGGAGGAACACCGAUGGCGAAGGCGACCUUCUGGACAGUGACUGACGCUGAGACGCGAAAGCGUGGGGAGCAAACAGG